GAUGAACGCUGGCGGCGUGCCUAAUACAUGCAAGUCGAGCGAACGGACGAGAAGCUUGCUUCUCUGAUGUUAGCGGCGGGCGGGCGAGUAACACGUGGAUAACCUACCUAUAAGACUGGGAUAACUUCGGGAAACCGUAGCUAAUACCGGAUAAUAUUUUGAACCGCAUGGUUCAAAAGUGAAAGACGGUCUUGCUGUCACUUAUAGAUAGAUCCGCGCUGCAUUAGCUAGUUGGUAAGGUAACGGCUUACCAAGGCAACGAUGCAUAGCCGACCUGAGAGGGUGAUCGGCCACACUGGAACUGAGACACGGUCCAGACUCCUACGGGAGGCAGCAGUAGGGAAUCUUCCGCAAUGGGCGAAAGCCUGACGGAGCAACGCCGCGUGAGUGAUGAAGGUCUUCGGAUCGUAAAACUCUGUUAUUAGGGAAGAACAUAUGUGUAAGUAACUGUGCACAUCUUGACGGUACCUAAUCAGAAAGCCACGGCUAACUACGUG
rnacentral:rRNA from 1 species